rnacentral:rRNA from 1 species
CUGCGAAGGGGGGACGGAGAAGGCUAUGUUGGCCGGGCGACGGUUGUCCCGGUUUAAGCGUGUAGGCUGGUUUUCCAGGCAAAUCCGGAAAAUCAAGGCUGAGGCGUGAUGACGAGGCACUACGGUGCUGAAGCAACAAAUGCCCUGCUUCCAGGAAAAGCCUCUAAGCAUCAGGUAACAUCAAAUCGUACCCCAAACCGACACAGGUGGUCAGGUAGAGAAUACCAAGGCGCUUGAGAGAACUCGGGUGAAGGAACUAGGCAAAAUGGUGCCGUAACUUCGGGAGAAGGCACGCUGAUAUGUAGGUGAAGUCCCUUGCGGAUGGAGCUGAAAUCAGUCGAAGAUACCAGCUGGCUGCAACUGUUUAUUAAAAACACAGCACUGUGCAAACACGAAAGUGGACGUAUACGGUGUGACGCCUGCCCGGUGCCGGAAGGUUAAUUGAUGGGGUCAGCGCAAGCGAAGCUCUUGAUCGAAGCCCCGGUAAACGGCGGCCGUAACUAUAACGGUCCUAAGGUAGCGAAAUUCCUUGUCGGGUAAGUUCCGACCUGCACGAAUGGCGUAAUGAUGGCCAGGCUGUCUCCACCCGAGACUCAGUGAAAUUGAACUCGCUGUGAAGAUGCAGUGUACCCGCGGCAAGACGGAAAGACCCCGUGAACCUUUACUAUAGCUUGACACUGAACAUUGAGCCUUGAUGUGUAGGAUAGGUGGGAGGCUUUGAAGUGUGGACGCCAGUCUGCAUGGAGCCGGCCUUGAAAUACCACCCUUUAAUGUUUGAUGUUCUAACGUGGACCCGUGAUCCGGGUUGCGGACAGUGUCUGGUGGGUAGUUUGACUGGGGCGGUCUCCUCCUAAAGAGUAACGGAGGAGCACGAAGGUUGGCUAAUCCUGGUCGGACAUCAGGAGGUUAGUGCAAUGGCAUAAGCCAGCUUGACUGCGAGCGUGACGGCGCGAGCAGGUGCGAAAGCAGGUCAUAGUGAUCCGGUGGUUCUGAAUGGAAGGGCCAUCGCUCAACGGAUAAAAGGUACUCCGGGGAUAACAGGCUGAUACCGCCCAAGAGUUCAUAUCGACGGCGGUGUUUGGCACCUCGAUGUCGGCUCAUCACAUCCUGGGGCUGAAGUAGGUCCCAAGGGUAUGGCUGUUCGCCAUUUAAAGUGGUACGCGAGCUGGGUUUAGAACGUCGUGAGACAGUUCGGUCCCUAUCUGCCGUGGGCGCUGGAGAACUGAGGGGGGCUGCUCCUAGUACGAGAGGACCGGAGUGGACGCAUCACUGGUGUUCGGGUUGUCAUGCCAAUGGCACUGCCCGGUAGCUAAAUGCGGAAGAGAUAAGUGCUGAAAGCAUCUAAGCACGAAACUUGCCCCGAGAUGAGUUCUCCCUGACCCUUUAAGGGUCCUGAAGGAACGUUGAAGACGACGACGUUGAUAGGCCGGGUGUGUAAGCGCAGCGAUGCGUUGAGCUAACCGGUACUAAUGAACCGUGAGG